rnacentral:lncRNA from 1 species
AUCAUGCAGAUAGCUCAGAAGAAGAAGUAAGUUUUUUUUUUAAUUACAAAAGUAAAUAUAUAAUAUAAUAUUUGUUGCUGCCUUGUUCUAUAUAAAUGUUUCUAACAUGCAGGUAACAUUUAUAUAUGUAUUAGUUUGAAUAAAUCAUUUUAAUAAAGUUACAUUAUAGGCAGGAAUGUUUGACUGGAAAUAUAAACGAUGUUGUACAUAAUGCAGAUAGCUUAGGCAAAAAAGAGAUUGGUGAAAUGGAGAAUGAGACUAACUAGGGUGAAAAAAAAUGAAUAUUAAUAUGUGAAUGGUACUUUGUUUAACAUCUACCUGUUUCUACAGAUACAGUACAGACGCAUUUAUAAAUGGGCUUGAUGUUUUUUUGAAUUAAAUAUGUUGUAUUGA